rnacentral:rRNA from 1 species
UUGAACGCUGGCGGCAGGCCUAACACAUGCAAGUCGAGCGGAUGAAGGGAGCUUGCUCCUGGAUUCAGCGGCGGACGGGUGAGUAAUGCCUAGGAAUCUGCCUGGUAGUGGGGGAUAACGUCCGGAAACGGGCGCUAAUACCGCAUACGUCCUGAGGGAGAAAGUGGGGGAUCUUCGGACCUCACGCUAUCAGAUGAGCCUAGGUCGGAUUAGCUAGUUGGUGGGGUAAAGGCCUACCAAGGCGACGAUCCGUAACUGGUCUGAGAGGAUGAUCAGUCACACUGGAACUGAGACACGGUCCAGACUCCUACGGGAGGCAGCAGUGGGGAAUAUUGGACAAGGGGCGAAAGCCUGAUCCAGCCAUGCCGCGUGUGUGAAGAAGGUCUUCGGAUUGUAAAGCUCUUUAAGUUGGGAGGAAGGGCAGUAAGUUAAUACCUUGCUGUUUUGACGUUACCAACAGAAUAAGCACCGGCUAACUUCGUG